GACAGAGGAUGCAAGCGUUAUCCGGAAUGAUUGGGCGUAAAGCGUCUGUAGGUGGCUUUUCAAGUCCGCCGUCAAAUCCCAGGGCUCAACCCUGGACAGGCGGUGGAAACUACCAAGCUGGAGUACGGUAGGGGCAGAGGGAAUUUCCGGUGGAGCGGUGAAAUGCAUUGAGAUCGGAAAGAACACCAACGGCGAAAGCAGCUCGUGCUGGGCCGACACUGACACUGAGAGACGAAAGCUAGGGGAGCAAAUGGGAUUAGGAAACCCUAAGUGAGUACCA
rnacentral:rRNA from 1 species